rnacentral:hammerhead_ribozyme from 1 species
AUCUAGCUGAAUAUUCCCAAAUAGGAUGAAACGCGUGUCAAACUGGAU